rnacentral:rRNA from 1 species
UACGAAGGGGGCUAGCGUUGUUCGGAAUCACUGGGCGUAAAGGGCGCGUAGGCGGCCGAUCAAGUCGGGGGUGAAAGCCUGUGGCUCAACCACAGAAUUGCCUUCGAUACUGUUUGGCUUGAGACCGGAAGAGGUAAGUGGAACUGCGAGUGUAGAGGUGAAAUUCGUAGAUAUUCGCAAGAACACCAGUGGCGAAGGCGGCUUACUGGUCCGGUUCUGACGCUGAGGCGCGAAAGCGUGGGGGAGCAAACAGG